GACACUAUGGCCGAGCGGUUAAGGCGACAGAUUCGAAUCUAAAUACCAUCUGUUUCCCUCUGGGAGCGCAUGUUCAAAUCAUGCUGGUGUCG
rfam:Fomitopsis pinicola FP-58527 SS1 unplaced genomic scaffold FOMPIscaffold_73, whole genome shotgun sequence.